rnacentral:tRNA from 1 species
UGACCCAUGGUGUAAUGGCAACACGUCAGGUUUUGGUCCUGAAGAGUCCAGGUUCGAACCCUGGUGGGUCAG